CCUUCGGGAGGCAGCAGUGGGGGAUCUUGCACAAUGGGGGGAACCCUGAUGCAGCGACGCCGCGUGUGGGAAGACGGUCCUCUGGAUUGUAAACCACUGUCCCCAGGGACGACAAUGACGGUACCUGUGGAGGAAGCUCCGGCUAACUACGUGCCAGCAGCAGCGGUAAUACGUGGGGAGCGAGCGUUGUCCGGAAUUACUGGGUGUAAAGGGAGCGUAGGCGGGGAUGCAAGUUGGGUGUAAAAACUACCGGCUCAACUGGUAGUCGCACUCAAAACUGCAGCUCUUGAGUGAAGUAGAGGCAGGCGGAAUGCCUGGUGUAGCUGUGAAAUGCGUAGAUAUUAGGAGGAACACCAGUGGCGAAGGCGGCCUGCUGGGCUUUUACUGACGCUGAGGAUCGAAAGUGUGGGGAGCAAACAGGAUUAGAUACCCUAGUAGUC
rnacentral:rRNA from 1 species